AAUCAACGCUGGCGGCGUGCCUAACACAUGCAAGUCGAACGCGAAAGCCCGCAAGGGUAAGUAGAGUGGCGCACGGGUGAGUAACACGUGGACAACCUGCCUUCGAGUGGGGAAUAACCUUCCGAAAGGAGGGCUAACACCGCAUAACACCUCGGGACACAAGUUUUGGGUUGAAAAGAGCAAUUUGCUCGAAGAGGGGUCCGCGCCUGAUUAGCUAGUUGGUGAGGUAACGGCUCACCAAGGCUUCGAUCAGUAGCCGUCCUGAGAGGGAGCACGGCCACACUGGAACUGAGACACGGUCCAGACUCCUACGGGAGGCAGCAGUGGGGAAUUUUUGGCAAUGGGCAAAAGACCUGACCAAGCAACGCCGCGUGGGUGAUGAAGUAUCUU
rnacentral:rRNA from 1 species